UACGUAGGGCGCAAGCGUUAUCCGGAAUUAUUGGGCGUAAAGAGCUCGUAGGCGGUUUGUCGCGUCUGCCGUGAAAGUCCGGGGCUCAACUCCGGAUCUGCGGUGGGUACGGGCAGACUGGAGUGCGGUAGGGGAGAAUGGAAUUCCUGGUGUAGCGGUGGAAUGCGCAGAUAUCAGGAGGAACACCGAUGGCGAAGGCAGUUCUCUGGGCCGUAACUGACGCUGAGGAGCGAAAGCAUGGGGAGCGAACAGG
rnacentral:rRNA from 1 species